rnacentral:rRNA from 1 species
UACGUAGGGGGCAAGCGUUAUCCGGAUUUAUUGGGUGUAAAGGGCGUGUAGGCGGGAAAGCAAGUCAGAUGUGAAAACUCAGGGCUCAACCCUGAGCCUGCAUUUGAAACUGUUUUUCUUGAGUGCUGGAGAGGCAAUCGGAAUUCCGUGUGUAGCGGUGAAAUGCGUAGAUAUACGGAGGAACACCAGUGGCGAAGGCGGAUUGCUGGACAGUAACUGACGCUGAGGCGCGAAAGCGUGGGGAGCAAACAGG